CUAACUCCUAAGUAAAGAAGAAAUGUUUAUGUAGAUACUAAUAAAUGAAAUAGAAUUAAAAAUGCAUCGAAUGAAAGUGUUCAGUCGAGAUAAUAGAAAUGAACAAUGUUUAUUUGUGUGUGUGUUAUUAUUGCAGUUUUUUUCUGUGUUGACACAUCUGAUCUCUCAACAUGAGCUGCAACGAACAGCGUAUGUGAUGUUUUACUGUAAAGACAUUUUUAUUCAAUGUAUAUAUUAUAUUCAUUGUGUCUACCAUUUACAACCAAUUAAAAUUAUUUUCUUUUCAUUCCUUGAUAUCUUCUACAGAACAAAAAAAGGUGACAUUUUCUUUCCUUAUUUAUAUAUGCACCUCAUAAAAAGAUGAAUGAAUGUGUGCAUAUUAAAUAAAUUACAUUUACAUAUGUUCAAAAUUAAAACAAGCAUUGAAACAGGACAAUAACUCUUUUGAUUUUCUGAUUUGUAAACAGCCAUGCGACAAAGACGAUUCUGACUCUGGAUCAGGGAGCUCCGGAGAUGAAGGAGGAAAGGGGAAGAAGGGAAAGGGCAAGGGUCAAGGAAAAGGAAAGGGAAAGGGUCAAGAGCACGGACAUGGACACGGAGGUCAAGGUCAAACCGGCAAAAGUGACCAACAUAAAAAAAAAUGAGUUUGAGCUGACAGUGACGAAGGAGGAGAAGAUUCUGUCCAAUCCUGCACUGAGCGACGCUGGACUUCAGCUUCACACAACACUAAAAGAAUGAAACUGUGUCUGUGUUAAUGUGUUUAACUAAUAAUUGUUAUUAUUCAAUAAACUGACAUCAAACACA